rnacentral:rRNA from 1 species
UAAUACGACUCUCGGCAACGGAUAUCUAGGCUCUCGCAUCGAUGAAGAACGUAGCGAAAUGCGAUACUUGGUGUGAAUUGCAGAAGUCUCCGUGAACCAUCGAGUUUUUGAACGCAAGUUGCGCCCGAAGCCAUUAGGCCGAGGGCACUGUCUGCCUGGGCGUCACGC